rnacentral:lncRNA from 1 species
AUUCCUCAUAAAACAAAGACUUAAUAAGUUUACUUGGCAGCUGAUGGGCAAAGUUAAAAAAAAAUCAAAUAAGCUUUUUGUUUUCUUUUAAGCAGUUCCUGGCAAUGCUUUCUUUUUUAUUUUAAGCAGAUGAGUUUUUAAAACAAUGAUUGCAUUUAAGACUUUCAAGAAAGCUUGUAAACCACAGAUUAGAUGAGCUGGGUCCUGAGAUCUGAACUGCGAGCUAGCUUGAUGCACACAAUGCAGGGCUCAAAGGUCUGAAAUUUCCAUGCACACAGACAACACAAUAAGGGUCCACAGCAGCCAUGCACCCUCUGAGUCCUGAGCCACAGACUACUUUGUAGCUCCUUGAGAUUGGCCUGUUAAGCUAAGGGCCUGGGUCCUGUGUACAGGGUGAGCAAUGAAGGGUGACCAGACUUAGAUGGAGGAAAUAUUUAUCAUUAGUUGUGAAGCUUUUUCAUUGAAGCCCCAUUUCCUGAGUGCAUGGGUAUACCAAUUUAAAUAUUCGCUAUUCAUUUCAUGUUGCUUGGCCCAUCUUUGUUUCCUUAGCACCACGACUCGUUUGCCUGGCCUCAUAGUCUGUCUCCCAAGAGUGCUCUUGAUGAGAUAUUUUUUUUUUAUCAGGAAAUUGAUUUUCUUGCAUCUCUUUCGGAGGUUGCUGAAUCCAAUCUUGGAGGAGAAUAAUUCAAUUCUUGGAAAAAUGUCUAAUAUGGGAGCCUAGUGUUUGAUUUUUUCUUUCCCCCCUGGCCACAGCAUCAAAGCUGUGUGAGCAUGCCAGGAGCCAAGGCAGAAUAGGUGCUUGCUGGCCCACCAGCUCCAUCCUUACCUUACCAGCCAGCCUCCGCCAGCAGUGCUCUUCUCACAGUGGGCUCUGAGCACCCUCUUUCCGCCCUGGAAGCAUCUUGCUCUAAUGCAGUUUUUCACUCUUGCUAGUUCUAAAUCUUAGCUAAAUUUUCUGUCUUACCCCUUAUACAUCCUGGAAAUUCCUCGCUGUGCAGUCUGCUCUCACAAUGGUACAUUUUUUCCCUUCGGGUCAGAAUGGCCUAAGUUCACGAUUCUUACCUAGCAAUGAAAAGUGGUUUUGUGGCCUAAGAUCUGGGUUAAUAAAAGUUGGACUUCUGGGUCCAAGACAGGCACAGUUGGUUGCGCUCUGUAUCUUUCCAAAAGAGAUGCACUAAGCAGUUUUAUGUGUGUAAGGGUCUUUGCCAUACCUUUGAGAGGGGUGCUUAGUUUAUUUAUAUCUUACCUUGAUGUUUUAUUAAUGACUGAUAGUUGUUUAGUCUACAGUGUCAAUUGGGAAUUGGAAAUCAGUCUGUGUCUGAGGCUAGUUUGCUUAAGUCCAAAGUCAGAACUGAUCCAGUGCGGCACAUGGAUACAGUUAUUAUAAACAAUUAUGGUAAGAAUGCCCAAUUUUCUGUAAUUAAAAUGCCCAGUGAAUUCAAUUCAUUGGAUUUCGCCUUGUGACCAUUGUGCUGUUUCUUUCUAUGUAAAGAAGUGUAUUCAAUUAAGUCUUGCAUAAUGUGCACUUUGUCAGUCCAAAAAAAAUUUACUUUCCAGUUGCUUGUGGUGUCGUUGGUAUUUAUUCUGCAACGUCAGCAGCGCUUAUGGGCCAAAUGCAGAGUGAGGACUGCAGUUGAAGCAACGUUUUUUUGUUGUUGUUGUUCACAUUCCAACAUUCUUAAGAUCCGCCUGAAAGGAAAUGUUGGAACAGUGUUCUGAAAGUACUUUUGAGAGCCAUGUAUUCCUGGAGAGCUUAAGAACCUAAUAGUUCGGGGGGGGGGGGUGAAGCUAUGAGCAUUUCUCUCCCUCUCCUACUUUAAGUCUUGUCUCAAAACUGAAAAAGAAAAUUACAGAAAGAGUUGCUGUGUUGUUGCAGUGUCUAGCUUCUUCUUGAGGUAGGAAGGGAACAUCUCCCGUAAAUAAUGAGAUGGUUCUGUCUUGCACAGGGAAAAAACAAAACAAAACAACAACCAUCCAAUGUACUAUUUUGGCAAAAUGCCUCUGAGUCUCUUCCUGUGGAAUUUUUACUUCUGUACUUUGCAGAGACUUCAUUUUUUCCUUUCUUCUUACUGAAAGCUGAGGAAUAAGGUGGAAUGGGUGUACUGCUAAAAAUUUUAUUCUUUUCUUCUCAGCUAUGGCCAACCAGUUGACAAACACAGAGAUGGGAAGCAGAAAUCUCAGUAUUUGAGGAUAUUUACGUGUCUUAGUCUCUGCCCAGAGUGGAACAAAAUCUGAAACACUAAAUUCUCUUGUGCAACAUUUCCUUUGUCUCUGCUGCCUCCCUUUUGAAAGGAAUCAUUAAGACACUUUUAGCUUUAGCCUAGCCCUGGGCUGUUACUAGAGCUUGGGGAGCCAAGAGGAGCAGAAAGACAGCAGGGCUGGAAGGAGGGGACAUGGGGCCUGGGCUUGGGCUGGCAGUCACUCAGGCUUUGCCGGAAAGGCCUGUAUGCUCUGCAGCAGAUGUGCCCCCUAUAGAAGGAAAACAAAUAAGUGUAAUCUUUUAUAAGUAUGUUCUUAAAAAUUCUUUGUUACAUUUUUGCAUGUAUGAAAGUACCAAGUUGAGAACAUGUUUGAGAAAUCAUAGGUUAGAUAAAUAUAAAUUAUUUACCUUGUUUUUCUAAUUUCAGGAGGAGCCAGGAUUCCACAGUUUGAAGAAGACUUGCUCUUUCCUUUCCUGUGCUUCUCCUCUCUCUGAAUUGGCAGCUGAGUUGGCAAAAACAGUUUGGUCUUUUGCAAGGCCUAAUUUCACUAUGGAUCUACAGACCCAAACCCCCAAGAGAAUUAUUGGUAGAUCUUUGGGAGAGUAAGAAAGACCUACAAAUUGAAAGAACACACGUUGCACAGAUGAGAAGAGCUGCUAUAGCAGAGAGAUGGAGAUCUUUAAACACUGACUUAGCGAUUGUAUUCAAAAGCAGCUACUGGAGUUCCUGUCAUGGCUCAGUGGUUAACGAAUCUGAUUGGGAACCAUGAAGUUGCGGGUUCGAGUCCUGGCCUCACUCAGUGGGUUAAGGAUCUGGUGUUGCCGUGACCUGUGGUGUAGGUCGCAGACACGGCUUGGAUCCUGUGUUGCUGGGGCUCUGGCGUAGGCUGGCAGCUAUAGCUCCGAGUACACCCCUAGCCUGGGAACCUCCAUAUGCUGCAGCUACAGCCCUAGAAAAG